UUGUAGAUUGUGAGUUCAGUGGCGAACGGGUGAGUAACAGAUAGGAACGUACUCUGAAGAAGGGGAUAGCCCACCGAAAGGUGGAGUAAUACCCUAUAAUAUCGCAAGAUUAAAGACGCAAGUCACUUCAGAAGCGGCCUAUCUACUACCAGCUAGUUGGUGGGGUAAUGGCCUACCAAGGCGAUGACGGUUAACGGCUCUUAGCGGAGAGUCCGUCACAAUGGGACUGAGACACGGCCCAUACACCUACGGGUGGCAGCAGUUAGGAAUUUUGCGCAAUGGACGAAAGUCUGACGCAGCGACACCGCGUGGAGGAUGACGGCCUUCGGGUUGUAAACUCCUUUUCCCCAGACAUGAAGUUUGGGGGAAUAAGCAACUACUAACUACGUGCCAGCAGUCGCUGUAAUACGUAGGUUGCAAGCGUUACUCGGAUUUAUUGGGCGUAAAGCGUCUGUAGGCGGUUUUUUAAGUCUUGUUUCAAAGAUUUCGGCUCAACCGGAAGAAGGGGCAGGAUACUAGAAGACUAGAGUGAUAUCGGGGUUACUGGAAUUUGUAGUGUAGGGGUAAAAUCCGUGGAUACUACAAAGAACACCAAGCGCGAAGGCGGGUAACCAGGUAUUUACUGACGCUCAGAGACGAAAGCUAGGGGAGCAAAUCAGAUUAGAGACCUGAGUAGUCCUAGCUGUAAACAUUGUCCGUUAAUUCCCUGUAUUUAUAUGGGGGAUGUAAGCUAACGCGUUAAACGGACCGCCUGGGGAGUAUAGCCGCAAGGCCGAAACUCAAACGAAUUGGCGGGGAGGCGCACAACCAGUGGAGCAUGUGGUUCAAUUCGAUACGAAGCGAUGAACCUUACCUGGGUUUGAAAUGUAUCUGCAAGCCCUAUGAAAGUGGGGCCGCCUUUGAGGGUGAUACACAGCUGUUGCAUGGCUGUCGUCAGCUCGUGACGUGAGUUGUUCUCUUAAGUGAGGUAACGAGCGCAACCCCCAUUCUGUGUUACUGUGUCACAGAAGACUGCCCAGCAUUAUUUUGUUGGGAGGAAGGAGGGGACGACGUCAAGUCAUCAUGAUGCUUAUGUCCAGGGCUACACACAUCCUACAAUGGGCUUUACAGAGGGUUGCGAAAUCGCAAGAUGGAGCUAAUCCCUAAAAGAGCCCUCAGUUGGGAUUGCAGGCUGAAACCUGCCUGCAUGAACCCGGAAUUGGUAGUAAUCGCGGAUCAGCAGACCGCGGUGAAUACGUUCUCGCCUCUUGCACACACUGCCCGUCAAAUCAGCAAAGUUGGGGGUACCUAAAGCCUGGCCUUUGGCCGGAUCAAGGUAAAUCCAGCGAUGAGGGUUAAGUCGUAACAAGGUA
rnacentral:rRNA from 1 species